UACAGAGGGUGCAAGCGUUAAUCGGAAUUACUGGGCGUAAAGCGCGCGUAGGUGGUUUGUUAAGUUGGAUGUGAAAAUCCCCGGGCCCGAACCUAGGGAACGUAGCAUUCAAAACUAGACAAGCUAGAGUAUGGUAGAGGGUGGUGGAAUUUCCUGUGUAGCGGUGAAAUGCGUAGAUAUAGGAAGGAACACCAGUGGCGAAGGCGACCACCUGG
rnacentral:rRNA from 1 species